GUGCCAGCAGCCGCGGUAAUACGUAGGGCGCAAGCGUUGUCCGGAAUUAUUGGGCGUAAAGAGCUCGUAGGUGGCUGGUCGCGUCUGCCGUGAAAGCCCGCAGCUUAACUGCGGGUCUGCGGUGGAUACGGGCCGGCUAGAGGUAGGUAGGGGCAAGUGGAAUUCCUGGUGUAGCGGUGAAAUGCGCAGAUAUCAGGAGGAACACCGGUGGCGAAGGCGGCUUGCUGGGCCUUACCUGACGCUGAGGAGCGAAAGCGUGGGGAGCGAACAGGAUUAGAUACCCCCGUAGUCC
rnacentral:rRNA from 1 species